rnacentral:tRNA from 1 species
GCGCCCGUAGCUCAAUCGGAUAGAGCGUUUGACUACGGAUCAAAAGGUUAGGGGUUCGACUCCUCUCGGGCGCGCCA